ACCACAGACUGAUAAAACAUCUGCAGCAUCUUACUAUAGAUGUCGAGAGAUCUGAGCUUCCUCAAGAAAAAGAGGCGGCUCUGCUCCUCUUUGUAGAGAGUGUCUGUGUUUAGGGACCAGUCCAACUUAUUAUCCAGGUGUACACCUAGAUACUUACAGCUUGGCACCACCUCGAUGUCCACCCCACAGGUAUUCACUGGCGGAAAUCUAUGAUCAUUUCCUUGGUCUUCGAGUAUUAAGAGUAACGUUAGUAGAAGCAAACUCUGGACCGCACAGAGGAACAUACACGCACAAAUAACAUGUGAGUUAAAUAAUGGAUGGUUGUCAGGAAAUGACGAAGGGAACCAAAGAUGCCUGGACACUGCAAAUCUCCAGUAUGCAGGUUGUCUUCUUCAUGAUCAAGCUUCAGUGUACAGGAGGUCAGAGGACCAUUGCUGCUGUAUGUGGAGGAGCCGAGGAGUCGUCCCAGGGUUUGGUUUUAGACGGGCUGCACUCUUCUCUUGGAUUUCAGGAUAUUUGAAAAAGAAUUCAACCCAUCCUUCUGGACACGCUUUCACUUCAGAUGAGGCCUCACAACCUGUAAACCAGAGCGAAAAG